AACGAACGCUGGCGGCAGGCUUAACACAUGCAAGUCGAGCGCCCCGCAAGGGGAGCGGCAGACGGGUGAGUAACGCGUGGGAAACUACCCUUUGGUACGGAAUAACUUGAGGAAACUUAAGCUAAUACCGUAUAAGUCCUUCGGGAGAAAGAUUUAUCGCCAAGGGAUGUGCCCGCGUCGGAUUAGCUAGUUGGUGAGGUAACGGCUCACCAAGGCGACGAUCCGUAGCUGGUCUGAGAGGAUGAUCAGCCACACUGGGACUGAGACACGGCCCAGACUCCUACGGGAGGCAGCAGUGGGGAAUAUUGGACAAUGGGCGCAAGCCUGAUCCAGCCAUGCCGCGUGAGUGAUGAAGGCCUUAGGGUUGUAAAGCUCUUUCGCACGCGAAGAUAAUGACGGUAGCGUGAGAAGAAGCCCCGGCUAACUUCGUGCCAGCAGCCGCAGUAAUAC
rnacentral:rRNA from 1 species